ACUUUGGACUUGCUCGGAGUGCCCUUAUGGAGGCUUCAUGGAUGUUCAUGAGGUCAAUGAGCGUGAACAACCAAUGAGCUGCACCGCGCACCAACCAAUCAGUACUCACUGGCAGUAACACCAGCCUUCUGCUGCCCAAAACCGAUUUGCUGUAGAAAAAAAACAAAACAUAUAGAGCUGUCAGGAGGAAGACCAUCAAGCUACACCAAACGGACAUCUUCUGAUCUUCAAUCAGUUUAUUUCGUCCUUUCUGACCUGAAUCUUAAAUAUAGAACACGCCUAUGCAGGAAAAGAGUUCUACAGCACCAGGAACCAGCGCUGGCAGGAGGAAGACCACCAACCAUCUCCCAC
ensembl:lncRNA